GACAGAGGCCUCAAGCGUUAGGCGGAAUCACUGGGCUUAAAGCGUGUGUAGGCGGACGCCUAAGUACCUUGUGAAAUCCCACGGCUCACCCGUGGAACGGCUGGGUAUACUGGGCGUCUUGGGCCAACUAGGGGCAACUGGAACAAGCGGUGGAGCGGUGAAAUGCGUAGAUAUCGCUUGGAACGCCAACGGUGAAAACAGGUUGCUGGGGUUGUGCCGACG
rnacentral:rRNA from 1 species